rnacentral:rRNA from 1 species
UUGGUGACCAGCGGAGGGAUCAUUACCGAGUUUACAACUCCCAAACCCAAUGUGAACCAUACCAAACUGUUGCCUCGGCGGGGUCACGCCCCGGGUGCGUCGCAGCCCCGGAACCAGGCGCCCGCCGGAGGGACCAACCAAACUCUUUACUGUAGUCCCCUCGCGGACGUUAUUUCUUACAGCUCUGAGCAAAAAAUUCAAAAUGAAUCAAAACUUUCAACAACGGAUCUCUUGGUUCUGGCAUCGAUGAAGAACGCAGCGAAAUGCGAUAAGUAAUGUGAAUUGCAGAAUUCAGUGAAUCAUCGAAUCUUUGAACGCACAUUGCGCCCGCCAGUAUUCUGGCGGGCAUGCCUGUCCGAGCGUCAUUUCAACCCUCGAACCCCUCCGGGGGGUCGGCGUUGGGGAUCGGGAACCCCUCAGACGGGAUCCCGGCCCCGAAAUACAGUGGCGGUCUCGCCGCAGCCUCUCCUGCGCAGUAGUUUGCACAACUCGCACCGGGAGCGCGGCGCGUCCACGUCCGUAAAACACCCAACUUUCUGAAAUGUUGACCUCGGAUCAGGUAGGAAUACCCGCUGAACUUAAGCAUAUCAA